GGCAGGGUGACGAAAUUGGUAGACGUAGCUGUUUCAAAAGCAGUCGCCGAGAGGCUUGUGGGUUCAAGUCCCACCCUUGCUA
rnacentral:tRNA from 1 species